rnacentral:rRNA from 1 species
CAGUCGCCACGGUAAAACGGAGAGUGCAAGCGUUAAUCGGAUUUACUGGGCGUAAAGGGCGCGUAGGCGGCGCGGUAAGUCACUUGUGAAAUCUCUGAGCUUAACUCAGAACGGCCAAGUGAUACUGCUGUGCUAGAGUGCGGAAGAGGCAACCGGAAUUCUUGGUGUAGCGGUGAAAUGCGUAGAUAUCAAGAGGAACACCUGAGGCGAAGGCGGGUUGCUGGGCCGACACUGACGCUGAUGCGCGAAAGCCAGGGGAGCAAACGGGAUUAGAUACCCCAGUAGUCCCUGUCUCUUAUAC